AAAAAUUUGAUUUACUCCCCAAAAAACGUGAAUCAAAGUUGGAACAGUCAAAGUUGCAUCACAUGACUGCCUGCUUCCUUCCUAUUAGAAAAGUCCCACACUCCCAUAUAAAAUCGAAUGCAUCAUCUUCAUACUGUCUCUCUUCUCCCUUUCGCCAACUACAAUGCUUCACAGAAGCCAUCCGGAAGCCAUGAGAAGCAUCAGCAAAAGCUCAUAUUGUCUCUUAUUAUUGCUCCUGUGCGUCCAUCUCUUCAUGUCUCCCUUCUCUCUCUGCCACGCUAGGAGUCUAAGACAUGGAGCUGUUAAUGCACCAAGAAAGCCCGCAGCACCACCUCCAUCAGUUUCGUCUUAUCAGACUCUCAACGGCCUGCAGAAGGAUGCCGGCAAACCCAUCUCUGAGCCAAAUGAGAGCUUGAGGAGGAUCCCGCCGAGCAGACCAAAUCCUACUCAGAAUAUCAGGUCGAAGUGGAAGUUCGAUCGACUUUCUUUCUCUAACAGGCAUUGAUAGCAGCGGCGGCACAGGGGCAGAUGUAACUAUACUUCAAAGAGGAUGAACUUUUCCUCUUUUUCCCUUUUUGUAGCAGGUUUCUGUUUUUUUCACUCUUUAUGUUUUUUAGGCUUCUAGCAGAAACUAGGAAAGCUACUGCGCUUCUGCUAUUCUAUAUUUCCCCUUUUCCAUUUGCUUUUUCCUCUGUUAUUAGUUGCCUCCGAGAUCCACUGCCCAAGAGGCAAACCUGGCUAAUUGAUGUACAGAGAAAAUAUAUGUGCAAAAUAUAUCUAGUGAAGUACUUCGAAUCUUGACACCCCAA